UUAGUCUUUCUCAUAUCUUGCAUCUUCCCUUUCUCUUUUCACUUAUAUAUCACCCCAAGAGAUAGAGUCUUUUCUCUAGACCACUGCUACUCAUCCAAGCAUUACAAAGCAGAAAAUUCCAUUUCAAAUUAUUCGACAUUGAGAAAGGACAGAGCUCAUGUGUGUUAAGGAUCAAUUAAGUGGAGGAUAGGAUGUCAUCUCCAAUCCUCCUAUUCUCCUGUGAUCUUAAGAAAAUAAAAGAACUCAGCCAAGAUGUGUACCUAAAGAUGACUCUGUCUCUGAAGAUGAAUCAACACAAUGCCUGAGGGGAAAGCCAGGAUUUCUGAAGGAAACAGUUAUGGGCUGUCCUGACACAAGGACAAGUGAGCAAUUAGAUCCAAGAAUUCUAUGUUAAAGACUCAUCUUUUAAAUCACAGUAUUCUGUAGAUGUUUCUAACUACGUGUAACUUCUCAUAAUCUCUAGAAUUCACAGAAUGUCUAACUUUUAACAAUGUAAUUUCUAGAAUUCUUAAAAAUAAACUGGUUGAAACCA